rnacentral:rRNA from 1 species
AGACCCGAAACCCGGUGAUCUAGCCAUGGGCAGGUUGAAGGUUGGGUAACACUAACUGGAGGACCGAACCGACUAAUGUUGAAAAAUUAGCGGAUGACCUGUGGCUGGGGGUGAAAGGCCAAUCAAACCGGGAGAUAGCUGGUUCUCCCCGAAAGCUAUUUAGGUAGCGCCUCGUGAAUUCAUCUCCGGGGGUAGAGCACUGUUUCGGCUAGGGGGCCAUCCCGGCUUACCAACCCGAUGCAAACUGCGAAUACCGGAGAAUGUUAUCACGGGAGACACACGGCGGGUGCUAACGUCCGUCGUGAAGAGGGAAACAACCCAGACCGCCAGCUAAGGUCCCAAAGUCAUGGUUAAGUGGGAAACGAUGUGGGAAGGCCCAGACAGCCAGGAUGUUGGCUUAGAAGCAGCCAUCAUUUAAAGAAAGCGUAAUAGCUCACUGGUCGAGUCGGCCUGCGCGGAAGAUGUAACGGGGCUAAACCAUGCACCGAAGCUGCGGCAGCGACGCUUAUGCGUUGUUGGGUAGGGGAGCGUUCUGUAAGCCUGUGAAGGUGGCCUGUGAGGGUUGCUGGAGGUAUCAGAAGUGCGAAUGCUGACAUAAGUAACGAUAAAGCGGGUGAAAAGCCCGCUCGCCGGAAGACCAAGGGUUCCUGUCCAACGUUAAUCGGGGCAGGGUGAGUCGACCCCUAAGGCGAGGCCGAAAGGCGUAGUCGAUGGGAAACGGGUUAAUAUUCCCGUACUUGGUGUUACUGCGAAGGGGGGACGGAGAAGGCUAUGUUGGCCGGGCGACGGUUGUCCCGGUUUAAGCGUGUAGGUGUGUGUUCCAGGUAAAUCCGGUUCAC